rnacentral:rRNA from 1 species
AAUCAACGCUGGCGGCGUGCCUCAGACAUGCAAGUCGAACGAUUAAGACUCUCUUCGGAGAGUGUAUAAAGUGGCGCACGGGUGAGUAACACGUAGGUAAUGUACCGAAGGGUGGGGAAUAACUUAGGGAAACUUAAGCUAAUACCGCAUAAUGCAGCGGCUCGACAUCGAGACAGUUGUUAAAGGAGCAAUCCGCCUUUUGAGCAGCCUGCGGCAGAUUAGCUAGUUGGUAAGGUAAUGGCUUACCAAGGCUACGAUCUGUAACCGACCUGAGAGGGUGGUCGGUCACACUGACACUGAAUAACGGGUCAGACUCCUACGAGAGGCAGCAGUCGGGAAUUUUGGGCAAUGGGCGAAAGCCUGACCCAGCAACGCCGCGUGAAGGAUGAAGUAUUUCGGUAUGUAAACUUCGUAAGAAUAGGAAGAAUAAAUGACGGUACUAUUUGUAAGGUCCGGCUAACUACGUGCCAGCAGCCGCGGUAAU